rnacentral:lncRNA from 1 species
CGUUUUAAAAUAUAUAAGAGCUAAUUUACUCUCUUUUUUUAAGUAAAAAAACCGAAAUGUAAUUCAUACCUUAGUAAAAGACCUGAUACUUUUUACAUUACUUUUGCUUUCAUGAUUUUGUAUCAUUCAAAUCUGUUGCUCUUUCUUUCUGUCUUUAUCACUGCCAUUCUUCAACUCCUCCCAUCAAAUCCCCGGCCUCCAUGUACUUUGCUACACAGAGUUGAAAUAGUAUGUACUCCACAAAGAUUAGGAGAGGAUUAAGGCUCUAAAUCAAGCAGGUGAACAUGAGCUAAGGUUUUUUCCUAUUGGGUUGGCCCCCUUAUGUGAAAUAACUCCUUGUUUUAAACCCAAACCUUUAAUGAUUAAUCAUUUGGUGGAGCAUACAGUUAAAAGUUGAAAUGGAAAAGAAAUGACUACUGUAACACUCCUAACCCGUAUCCCUCACCGGAACUGGGUUACGAAGUAUUACCGGAGAUUACAGAUUAAACAGACAGAAAUCUCAAACAUUUUAUAUCAUUAAAACAAGUCAUCAAAGCAUCAUUUUAAUCCAAAUUAUAAACUCUCCAAAAUAGAUUUUAUAACUUCAUUAAGAAUCAAACCACAAAAUAACUAAUAUUUAGACACUCUAGGUACAUGCCGACACAAAGAAAUAAACAUCACCAUAUUUGAGUUCGGGAUCGUUGUUGGGUGCUGAAUCAGCGAUCAGACUUAAGUACUUAACCUGCGCAUGGAAAAUAAAACCGUACGCUGAGUAAAAACUCAGUGGUAUUUCUAUAAUCUGAAUAUUUAAAAAAAUAAAAAAUGUAUAAUAAAAUGUUAAGCACAAUUGAACAUUUAAAAUCACACAAUACUCGAUUUUCAUCACUUGCUAUAUAUAAUACCUUUCCAUAAUUUAUUCACGUAUCAUUUAAAUAAUAGCACUAUCCAUUCCACAAUCAAUUUAUGAGUAUAUAACUCGUGUAUUCCAUGUAUUUACAACAUAUUUCACAUUCUAUUUUCAGUUUACUAUCUCAUAUUCUUAUUCUUAGCCCAAAGUAGAUUUUAUAGAAUACACCGGAUAUACGAGACAAAUACAGAGGUGCAUUGUUAUGCACUAAUGAACAGAGAGCACUGAAGUGCUAUACAAAGAGCACAUAUGUGCUAAACAGAGAGCACUGACGUGCUAGUAAUCAGAGAGCACUAACGUGCUAAUAAUCAAAGAGCACUGAUGUGCUAAUUAUCAGAGGGCGCGCUAAAGUUCCUUAAUGGCAUGCCACUAAUAUCCAAGUAAUUCUAAAGUCCGUCUACUUGGGCAUUAAAAUUGAAUUUUAUACAUAUAAAAAAUAAUCCAAUUAUCAUAUUUGCACAAUUUCACAUUUACACAUAUAUAUAUAUUCAUAAUAUAUAUAUUCCAAUUCAAUUCAACCAAUAUAAUUCCAUCACAUAUCAAGACAAUCCAUUUCAAUUGUAAAACACAAUAAUUCUCACCUCAAUCACUUACUAUAACAUUUAAUCAAAAUACAACAAUUAAUAAUUAGAUUCUGAUUAUAGAAAUACAAAUCAGGAAUUCCGAGCUAUUCGAUGUCGACUAUAUUUUUCCCCUUUUUAGUCGAGAAUUUCGGUACGACGCUAGUAACGGAAUUAAAACAAUUAAAAAUCAUCAAUACAACACCAUUCAAUCUCACAUUAAAUAUUUCAAUUUUUACUCAAUAUUUGCCUAAAUUUCAAUUUAGUCCCUAAACCGAGACUAACUUUUAUUCUCAAAACUAAUUUCAUAUUUUCAUUCCUUUCCUACUUUAAACUAAUUUAACUCUCUAAUUUCACCAUAAAUCUUUAAUUUUGAAAUUCCCUCAAUUUAGUGCCUAUUAAUUCAAAACCUAUAAUUUAUUUUACAAUUUAAUCCAUUUCUCUAUUAUAAUUUGAAAUUUUAUCAAUUUAAUCCCUAAUUCUUCAAUUAAUUCAACAUGAACAACAUCUAAAAAUUUACUAACUUUCAAAAAUUUCAACUUAAAUCAAGUAGUAUUUUGUUCUAGAAUUCCAAAAACAUCAAAAUUAUAAGAAAAGAGACUAAAUUAACUUACCAAUCAAUGAACCCUGAAAUCCCAAAUUUUCUUUCUUUCCUUCCCUUUUUCUUUUUCUUUCCUUUAUUCCCUGUUUUCGUUUUGCUAUUCUGUUUUUAUUCUCUUUUUCUAUCUUUUAUUUAAUUAAUAAUAAUAUAAUAAAUAAAUAUCUUUUACUUAAUUAAUAAGCAUGCACAUAUAUUAAUUACAAAUGUAUACAUAUAUGUAUUUAUAAUUAUCACACACUUGUCACUUUUUAUGGUUUAAUUAUUAGUUUAGUCCUUUCACCUUUUUCUAUUUUAUAAUUAACUUUCACACCUAAUUCAAUUUAGUCUUAAUACUCAAUUAACUUUAAUUUAACUAAAUUCACUCAACUAAAAUUCAAUUGGUGAUAUAACUAAUUCUAUAAAUAUUUUUAAUAAUUAUUUUACGAGUCCGUUUUACCAAGACGGAGACCCGAUAAUUCACUAAUUCAAAAAUAUUUCUAAAAUCAAGCUUAAUUUAUAAUUAUUAAUUAAUAAAUUUUUCUAACUUUUUCAUCGAAUUUAGUGAUCUCAAAUCACUGUUAUGAUACUACUGAAAAUUAAACUGUUACAAUUACUUAUUUCCUUUUGAGCCUGCUCGACAUUUUCAUGCUUUGUUAUCAGCUCCAGAUGAUGGAAGCUCACAUUUAUUGUUAGUCUUUGGAUGUUGGAUCUCCUGUUGCAGUCUUCCUUUCUCAAAUUUCAAACAAAGAGCUUGCAUUAUUAAGAUAAAAAUGAAAACUGAUAAAAAAAAAAAAAGCUGUUUGGCAUGAUCGUGAUGAAUCUAGGUAUAUAAAUUGUAUGUUAAACUGUGACGUGACCUAUCUUCUUUCUUAUCCUUUAUUUGAUGUUGUUUAAGGAUCCAAUCCAGAUUUGAUGUCUAACUAAAAAAUUGAUAUAAGUUCUUUUGUCAUCUCAUCCUGAUUUACUCAACUUUAUUAUUGUUUCUUAAUCACUUAAAUAUGAUAAUUUUUUUUAUAUUAGAGUCUAUUUUUUUUUCAAGUUAGGUCCUAAAUUUGAUAAUUGUUUCUAUAUUAGAGUCUGAAUUUAAUAACUAUUUCCAAAUUAAGGAUUGAACUUUAGGUUUUCAAGGACUAAUUUUAGGGUCAAAUUUAAAGUCUAACUUGAAUAAAAAAAUUCAGACCCCAAUAUAUAAAAUGUUACCAAGUUCGAGUCUCAAAUGUUAUUUAACCCUUUCUUAAUUAUAAGAUAACAUGAUUUUUUGUUUCACCGUGCACUAAUUUGAAGAUCUUAAGCGUGAUUGUAUAGGAAUCUAGACCGGAAAUGGGGACGACAAACCUAAGACGCUGCCAGGUUAAUAGGAGAUUGGAAUUGGCUGCCCUCUGUGUGUCGUGCCGUUGUUGAAAAGUGGGUGUUCGGUGCGCUGCGCUAAAGGUGCAUUUGGUAGGUUGAACUUUACACUGUUAUAUCCCAAAAUAAUAUAACAUUGUUUAGGCUGCCUCCUAAGUAUCUUAAAUUAGGGCAUGAUCUUAAAUUUUAGACUAAUUUAUUUUCUACUUUUUAUUAUUUUAAUCAAUUUAGUACUUUAUUUAUAAAAUAUUAUGAAACCUUCCUUCAAUCAAAUUUCCAAUGUAUAUUUUUUAUGCUGUGAUUUCUAAAUCCAUCCAACUCAAGCAAAAAGCCAAAACAUUCUAAUUAAUUAGUCAAUUUCAACUCUUUAAUUUGCCUCUCAUUCCAAUGAAAAAAAAUUAAUUUACAAAUACCCAGAAUUUUGUUUGUUUGUUCUUCCACCAACAAAUUAAUGACACAGAAAUCACAAGUUGUACUGUAAUAGUAGCAAAAGAAAUAGAAAACCUUCAAGUUCUUUACUCCCAGCCAGGUCACUUCAUGUAAAGAUAGCGCACAUGCUUCCCUCACCAGUCUCCAGUUUAAGUAGUCAAAGAAGCUUUGAUUCUGAUGUAAAAGCCUUGAGUACUGCCACAACUUCAUGACUAUACAAAAGCCCAUUCUUUCUCUC